rnacentral:rRNA from 1 species
CACGUAGGGGGCAAGCGUUGUCCGGAUUUACUGGGCGUAAAGAGCGCGUAGGCGGAAGCUUAAGUGUGGCCUGAAAGCCCCCGGCUCAACCGGGGAGGGUGGCUGCAAACUGGGCUUCUUGAGGGCGGCAGAGGAGAGUGGAAUUCCUGGUGUAGCGGUGAAAUGCGCAGAUAUCAGGAAGAACACCAAUGGCGAAGGCAGCUCUCUGGGACGGUACUGACGCUGAGACGCGAAAGCGUGGGGAGCGAACAGG